UUCAGGGUUUGUAACGCCUUCAAUUCUUUUCUUAUAGAGUCGUUUCUCCUCCCUUUCUCUCUACCCUUUCACCUCCUACUACCAGAACAUUCUCUCCUCCCAUGGUUUCUCUGCAACCUAAAACUAUGAGACGGACAGGCUUUCAUGUUCUCCCAAGAACUAGACAAGGGUUGUGAUCCUUUUGCCAUGAGGCAGAUAAAACCCCGAUUCUUCCACUCGAGAAAUCUGCGAAAACUCUGAGGCUGCCAAUGGCAGUGUUGUUCAUAUCCAUGGGGUUUGUCACCAAGAACAAAACAUAGACCCCAGAAAGCUUAAACGGCCAGAUCUUUUCUCUCUUCUUUUCUUUAACCUACCUAUAUACUUCCUUUUCUUUUCCAUGUCACAGAGAUGUUGUGUAGGUCAUUUCAAAUCGUUUCUCUGCUCAGAAAUUAAUAGUCAGGAAGCAUCAACAUCUUUGUGAUAUGGAAAAGAAGGUGAAGGAGUAUUUAAAUUUAAUUUCAAAAGAGGAGAGACCGUAAAUAGAUCAAUAGUUUAAAAGCAUUUAACUAAUGCUGCAGGAAGGGCAUCACCUUUUUCUUCAUCCAAUCUAAGGUAAUAAGGUAAUUGUUCGAUUUAUAUAAUUAUACUUCAGUUUGGUGUAGCUAAUGGCAAUGAUGGCAACUAAAAAGAUUGUUAUUUUUUUAAAAUUCAGAGGUGGUGACCCAAUGAUAAUGGAGUCACCAACGUUUACUAGUCAAAAUAUGCAUAAUUUUAAAAUAGAUCAUUUUGUAAAUAAUCAAAAGUUUUGGGUUAUUUUUAUAAAAAACCCAAUUCCAUCAUUCAAUUGAUAGAAAACUACAAAAACAGGUAUUGAUUAAAAUUCAAUUCGAUUAUGUUUAAAUUGCCUUGUAAUUCUUCAAUAUGUAAUGUUGCUUUCAAAUAGCUUAAACAGAGGGAUUAUGGCUAGUUAGAGACAAGGUAAAUGUUUAGAAUUCGAUAUGUUUUAUUUUUAAUGGCAUGUAUGUACCAUAUUAUUUUUUUUGUAAAUAUGUAAAAGAUACAUACUAUAAGUAGGAAGUUGGAACCCAUCGUGUUGAGUAUUUUCUAUUUGUAUAUGUCCGUAUAUAUACAUUAUGUGUUAUUCAUUUAAAGUUUUUUUAGUGUAUUGAUAUCUUCAAUCUGAGAGGCGAUGUAUUACAUGCACGACCAGGUUGGUAAUGUUGAAACCUUUUGAAAAAUAUGGUGUUGCUUCUUUGAAAAAUGGUAUGGGGAUCUGAAAUCAAUAUUGGUAUGUCAUGCAUGACUUGGCCAUGUCCACUUCUUCACCUACCAUAAGAAGUUACCGAGUUAGAAAUGGGUGGAUUGCUACACAAGGCACCGGUUAGGAUGUUUAUCACAGAAUGAAGACACAUUGCUUAAGGAAACCAAAUUAUAUCUCCCAUGUUUCAUAUGAACAGGCUUUUGCCUAGAAAGUCCUUGAGUCCACUGGCAUUGCUUCAGGGGCUGUAUUUAUUUUUGUCGUUUUAGCCAUGGUAAACAUAAAAACCAGAGUUAGCCUGAGUA